UACGUAGGGUGCGAGCGUUGUCCGGAAUUAUUGGGCGUAAAGAGCUUGUAGGCGGUUUGUCGCGUCUGCUGUGAAAUCUCAAGGCUCAACCUUGAGCUUGCAGUGGGUACGGGCAGACUAGAGUGUGGUAGGGGAGACUGGAAUUCCUGGUGUAGCGGUGAAAUGCGUAGAUAUCAGGAGGAAUACCGAUGGCGAAGGCAGGUCUC
rnacentral:rRNA from 1 species